GACGAACGCUGGCGGCGUGCUUAACACAUGCAAGUCGAACGAUGACGACCGAGCUUGCUCGGUCUGAUUAGUGGCGAACGGGUGAGUAACACGUGAGCAACCUGCCCUUCACUCUGGGAUAACCUCGGGAAAUCGGGGCUAAUACCGGAUAUGAGCUCCUGUCGCAUGGCGGGUGUUGGAAAGUUUUUCGGUGAAGGAUGGGCUCGCGGCCUAUCAGUUUGUUGGUGAGGUAGUGGCUCACCAAGGCGAUGACGGGUAGCCGGCCUGAGAGGGCGACCGGCCACACUGGGACUGAGACACGGCGCAGACUCCUACAGGAGGCAGCAGUGGGGAAUAUUGCACAAUGGGCGAAAGCCUGAUGCAGCGACGCCGGGUGAGGGAUGACGGCCUUCGGGUUGUAAACCUCUUUCAGCAGGGAAGAAGCGAAAGUGACGGUACCUGCAGAAGAAGCGCCGGCUAACUACGUG
rnacentral:rRNA from 1 species